rnacentral:rRNA from 1 species
GUGAGGAAUUUUCCGCAAUGGGCGAAAGCCUGACGGAGCAAUGCCGCGUGAAGGAUGAAGGCCUAUGGGUUGUAAACUUCUUUUCUUAGAAAAGAAUAUUGACGGUAUCUGAGGAAUAAGCAUCGGCUAACUCUGUGCCAGCAGCCGCGGUAAGACAGAGGAUGCAAGCGUUAUCCGGAAUGAUUGGGCGUAAAGCGUCUGUAGGUGGCUUCAAAAGUCUCCUGUCAAAGAUCAGGGCUUAACCCUGGGCCGGCAGGAGAAACUCUGAGGCUAGAGUUUGGUAGGGGCAGAGGGAAUUCCCGGUGGAGCGGUGAAAUGCGUAGAGAUCGGGAGGAACACCAAAGGCGAAAGCACUCUGCUGGGCCACAACUGACACUGAGAGACGAAAGCGAGGGGAGCAAAAGGGAUUAGAUACCCCAGUAGUCC